AUUUUAUUAAUUUUUUUUACAUUAUAAAUCUUUUGAUUUUAAUGGAAAAAUAUCAAAAAUUUGCCCCUCUUGAUUUAAAAUCCUGGCUUUGUCCCUGCCCUUUCCUAAACAAGGUGCUAUGUUCAAAUCUGACUUAAUAAAUAGAAUGAAAAAUUGUAUUUAAAACAACCAUAUAUGACAUGAAAAAACCUAGAGGUGUAGAGUAGCCAGGCUGGGAUGAGCUUCUUGAGCUUUCUGAGUUUGGAAGUCCAUUUUUCCCUUUAGUCAAAAGAUUUUGUUGAUCUGUGGCAGGAGAGACAAUCAACUUUCGUUAUUCUUUUAGGCGUCAUCCUGGAUGUUUUGUCAUAUUUCAAUAGGAAACUCUGCACUGUACACAAUCAAUUUGAUAUAACUCAUCUAACCUUAUAUGGGAAGUGGUAUUGAUGAAAUGUACCUUGUUACAUUGUAGUGGUUAGUCCUGCCUAUAUUUCCUCAAUUAAUCUGUGGUUUAAUAACUUUCGUGGUUUGCAGGUCCGUAUUGCACGCAUUUUUA
rnacentral:misc_RNA from 1 species